GACACGACUCUCGGCAAUG
rnacentral:rRNA from 1 species